CUCCAUCUUAUGCAGAUUGACUCCACUUUGCAUUGCCUCCUGAAAAAUGCAUCCACCUGAAUUGACUUCUGUUCACCCUUGAAUUGGCAGUUGAAUCUUGUUCAGGUCAAAAUCGAAAAUAACACAAUUGCAAUUUGGAGCCCAGAUCUAGCAGAAAUGCCAAGGAAGGUAUUUGUAAUUUGAUCAUUCCCCGCUUCCUAAUUCGGACAGCAAAACCAAGAAAAACACAAACAAUAUCACCAUUGUUUCAUGACGUAGUUUCACAAAGAUCGCAUCAGAUCUAGCAGUUUAAGACAUGAAAUUCUGAAGAAAAAGAAAAAAAGAAAAAAAAAAAAACUAA